CGAACGGGUGAGUAACGCGUGAGGAACCUGCCUCAAAGAGGGGGACAACAGUUGGAAACGACUGCUAAUACCGCAUAAGCCCACGGGUCGGCAUCGACCUGAGGGAAAAGGAGCAAUCCGCUUUGAGAUGGCCUCGCGUCCGAUUAGCUAGUUGGUGAGGUAAUGGCCCACCAAGGCGACGAUCGGUAGCCCGACUGAGAGGUUGAACGGCCACAUUGGGACUGAGACACGGCCCAG
rnacentral:rRNA from 1 species